UACAACCAAACGUUGUAGUUUUAAGAGUUAAGAGGCCUUUGAAAAAGGAAAAGAAAAAGAAGAAACAGAAGAGUAAAGUGCAGAUGCGGGAAGAUAAAUGCCACCAAGUUCGUUGAUUUCAUUCUCUUUCCCUUUUAAUUUCUCUGAAUUCUCUCUCUAACAAUUUGUAAUCAGGUUUAUUUUGGAGAUUUUGGAUGGAAAUAGGCUGUGCAAUCUAGAAGGAGCCACUUGAGCUUGAAUUGUUGUUGUAGUUUGGCUAGUUUUGGAUGUGGUAGAUGAUAAAAUAUUUUUGAAGCUAGGCUUAUUUUUGUUUAAAAGGAGUAAUGGUUAACAUUGCGAAUUUGGAAAUAGGUUGCAAUCUGGAAGGCACCGUGAAAGUGUUUAAAAUGUUUAGGUGGCUUGUUUGGGAUGUAAUAGGUGACAAGACCUUUUGGAAGCUCAAGUUUGUUUUAAACGGUGGUUAUUUUGGAAAGGCACAAUUGCUGUUCAUGUAUUUUUGAAGUAAUGACUUCAACUUUUGGUCAUGCAUAGGUGCUGAAUUAUGAUUAAAUGUCACACGUCCCUUUUUCCAUCCUAGUUUAUGCUUAUUGCUUUUUUAGUUUCAAUUUUGCAUUUUAUUAUUUUUUAUUAAUCCGUGUAAUGAA